GCUCACCUAGCUCAGUCGGUAGAGCACUUCCUUGGUAAGGAAGAGGUCACUGGUUCGAUUCCAGUGGUGAGCACCA
rnacentral:tRNA from 1 species